GGCCGAGUUGUAACUUGCAGAGGAUGUUAUGGAAUCUGUAUGGACUCAAAUUCUUUGGAAAAAGAUGCCAUGGAGAGUGACAGACUCGUACUUUCCACUACAUUUUCCAUGUAUAACUCCUUCAAAGAGUCGAGUUGUUUGGGAAUGCAGCUCUAAGUGGGACGUAAAUUUGUUCCAAAGCUAAAUACCGGCUAGAGACCGAUAGCGCACAAGUAGAGUGAUCGAAAGAUGAAAAGCACUUUGAAAAGAGAGUUAAAAAGCACGUGAAAUUGUUGAAAGGGAAGCUUAUGUCAUCAGUAAUGACGGCAUUGUUCAGCCUUUUGGUGUAUUCAAUGUCUUGUCAGGCUAGCAUCAGUUUGGAUAGAUGGAUAAAAGUGUUGGAAAUGUAACUUCCCCGGAAGUGUUAUAGUCCAAUACAGAAUGCAGCUUACCCAGACUGAGGACCGCUUUGAGGAUGC
rnacentral:rRNA from 1 species